rnacentral:rRNA from 1 species
GAUGAACGCUGGCGGUAUGCCUAACACAUGCAAGUCGUACGAGGGUUUUUAACUCUAGUGGCGACGGGUGAGUAACACGUGAGAAUUUGCCUUUAGGAGGGGGAUAACAAUCGGAAACGAAUGCUAAUACCCCAUAUGCUUUUGAGUGAAAUGGAUUUAUCCGCCUAAAGAGAAGCUCGCGGCUGAUUAGCUUGUUGGUAAGGUAAGAGCUUACCAAGGCGACGAUCAGUAUCNGGUUUGAGAGGACGAUCAGACACACUGGAACUGAGACACGGUCCAGACUCCUACGGGAGGCAGCAGUGGGGAAUUUUCCGCAAUGGGCGAAAGCCUGACGGAGCAAUACCGCGUGAGGGAAGACUGCCUAUGGGUUGUAAACCUCUUUUUCAGGGAGGAAUAAAAUGACGUGUACCUGAAGAAUAAGCAUCGGCUAACUCCGUG